GGCGAUCAGAUACCGCCCUAGUUCUGACCGUAAACGAUGCCAACUAGCGAUCCGCCGGCGGAUUCAUUCGCCCUGGUGGGGAGCUUCCCGGAAACGAAAGUCUUCCGGUUCCGGGGGAAGUAUGGUUGCAAAGCUGAAACUUAAAGGAAUUGACGGAAGGGCACCACCAGGAGUGGAGCCUGCGGCUUAAUUUGACUCAACACGGGGAAACUCACCCGGCCCGGACACCGUAAGGAUUGACAGAUUGAUAGCUUUUUCAUGAUUCGGUGGAUGGUGGUGCAUGGCCGUUCUUAGUUCGUGGAGCGAUUUGUCUGGUUUAUUCCGAUAACGAGCGAGACUCUGGCCUACUAAAUAGUUGGCACAUUGCCACUGUGUGCCCAACUUCUUAGAGGGAUUUUCGGUGUUCAGCCGCACGAAAUUGAGCAAUAACAGGUUUGUGAUGCCCUUAGAUGUCCGGGGCUGCACGCGCGCUACACUGGCAAAAUCAGCGUGCUUGUCCUCCCCCGAAAGGGGUUGGUAAACCGAUGAAAAUUUGCCGUGAUUGGGAUCGGACAUUGCAAUUAUUGUCCGUGAACGAGGAAUCCCUUGUAAGGGCGAGUCAUCAACUCGUCCUGAAUACGUCCCUGCCCUUUGUA
rnacentral:rRNA from 1 species